AUUUUCUUAAGACUGUACGCACUUCUCAACCUAUCUGAUAUAUUAAUAACCAAGGUGGUUUUUUCCAAUUCUAUAUCCUGUUUGAUUUGUUUGCACCUUAAAUUUACCUUAAGGUAUUCACAAGUGAUAUCAACUAAACCAUACAGAAGUACUUAACAUUUAACAUUUGUCCAAACAUUUCCACACAAUUUCCGAUAAACCACCAGUCUAUCCACUUAUCAAUCAAUCAAUCAAUCAAUUGGCUUUUGCCCUUUGCAAACAUUUCGUAAUGUCAAAUUUUGUACUUGAAAAUUGUCUUGAUAGUGUUCGAUUGAUUUGCGAUACUCAAGUGGUGAGAAACAACACUAACAAAAACAUGCACCGUAAUACAACACAAAGCAAGUGAAACAUUUCAGCACACUCUGACUGAACCCGAAUGAAUGUAAAUGAGCGUAUUACUUGUUUGCUCUCAUAGCUGUUGGCUGGUUGUCGUCGACCACAACCAGUCAAUAACUAAACAAGAUUUCGGCGAAAGCAACAGACUGCAAUCAGAAAUCAAAAACAAAUUGUCGCGGUCGACUUUGACUUUUGCGAAUUUAAACUUGUGGGUGGUUCGGUGCGAUGAGUCGAUAUACAGUUACAUAUAAAGAGUGAUAAAAUUCUCGAGUCACAAUGUUUGCUGUGAAACUUCUUUGAAAUUUCAGUUUUUUAUUAUUUUGGACAAACAUUUUUUUUUUUCUCGUUUUAGAAUUGAAACAUACAUACAUUCUAUAUAUAUACUAUACUCUAGUGAUUGCUUUUGUUUUAUAAAUAUACGUGUUUUAUUAUUGUAAAAGGGUUCGAUGCCGGAGAGGGAACCUGAGCAACAGCUACCACAUUCAAGGAAGGCUGCAGGCGCUGAAAUUACCAACUCCCGGCAUUUCAAAUUGAUUUAUGCAUAUUUUUAAUGUACGGUCAACAUUGCCAACAAGACGCAAAGGGGUCAAUUUCAGUCGUCGAACAAACAAAUUAAGAAACAUGCAAGAUAGAAGAUCACAUGUGUGAGCAUGGCGCAGUUACGUCAAUCACAAUCGCAAGAGGCAUGAGAUGAAAGAAAUCAACGAAGAGAAGCGCGCAGAUUCAAUGUUAACAAGUACAUCGAACAUCUACAUCAGGAUCAUUUCUUCGACUAGCAUUCCAGUAUGAGCCUGAUGUACGUACAUAUGUCGUACUCAUCAGGUAAAGUGCAAAUACUUACUUAUCCGUACAAAUCCAGAUUCUAGCCUGUUCCUGAAGUCAAUUCGUGUUUCCAAAUGAUAUCGUUCGGAGCAACAGAAAUUAUUCAAAAUAUUGCUGCAAACGGUCAACAAUUUAAUUCUACUUUCAAAAUCAAAGGCCAAGUUUAUCACAAAGUGGGUUUAUUGCUGCCAAUGCCAAACGAAUCUCAUAAAUUUUUACAAAUAUAUUUUAUGGAGGGAGAGGACUCUGAACGCGCACUCACCAAUCGCGUGAAUGCACGUUCCGAUUACAAUAACCUCAAUUCACCUUUUGCCAGCCGAAUCAUCGGCGAGCUGGACGCUCUGUUAAAUGAGCACAUUUAUUUGUUGAAAGUAUUCAAAUCAAAAAUACCCAAACUACAAACUGAUAGAGAUCCGUAAUUCUUUCGUUAUUGAGAACUUAGUUAAUUUAUUAUUAAAGAAUAAAUCGUCAUGGUGGACAUGUAUGUGAAGAUAGAAAGUGAACGACUACGAUACUUGCGACAUAACCAACAGAAGCUGCGUGCGCAAGAAUAUAUUUACCUCCGAGAUGCUAUUGCGAACAACGCUGAUACUGCCCAAAUUGGUAACUCUGUCCUCCUAUCUUCUUCGUACAUAAAAAGUCCACGUCACAUCUUUAUUUAUUUUUGAUUGCCAUAGUUAGUAGUCGAAAUAACAAACAAUUGUACUUAAAAAUAUAUUUGUUAUUGUAUUAAAGUAAAAUUUAUUAACUUAUA